rnacentral:rRNA from 1 species
UACGUAGGGUGCAAGCGUUAAUCGGAAUUACUGGGCGUAAAGCGUGCGCAGGCGGUUAUGCAAGACAGAUGUGAAAUCCCCGGGCUUAACCUGGGAACUGCAUUCGAGACUGCAUUGCUAGAGUAUGGGAGAGGGAAGUGGAAUUUCCGGUGUAGCGGUGAAAUGCGUAGAUAUCGGAAGGAACAUCAGUGGCGAAAGCGACUUCCUGGACCAAUACUGACGCUCAUGUGCGAAAGCGUGGGGAGCAAACAGG